CCUGGCUCAGAUUGAACGCUGGCGGCAGGCCUAACACAUGCAAGUCGAGCGGAUGACGGGAGCUUGCUCCUUGAUUCAGCGGCGGACGGGUGAGUAAUGCCUAGGAAUCUGCCUGGUAGUGGGGGACAACGUUUCGAAAGGAACGCUAAUACCGCAUACGUCCUACGGGAGAAAGCAGGGGACCUUCGGGCCUUGCGCUAUCAGAUGAGCCUAGGUCGGAUUAGCUAGUUGGUGGGGUAAUGGCUCACCAAGGCGACGAUCCGUAACUGGUCUGAGAGGAUGAUCAGUCACACUGGAACUGAGACACGGUCCAGACUCCUACGGGAGGCAGCAGUGGGGAAUAUUGGACAAUGGG
rnacentral:rRNA from 1 species